GACGAACGCUGGCGGCGUGCUUAACACAUGCAAGUCGAACGGAAAGGCCCUGCUUUUGUGGGGUGCUCGAGUGGCGAACGGGUGAGUAACACGUGAGUAACCUGCCCUUGACUUUGGGAUAACUUCAGGAAACUGGGGCUAAUACCGGAUAGGAGCUCCUGCUGCAUGGUGGGGGUUGGAAAGUUUCGGCGGUUGGGGAUGGACUCGCGGCUUAUCAGCUUGUUGGUGGGGUAGUGGCUUACCAAGGCUUUGACGGGUAGCCGGCCUGAGAGGGUGACCGGCCACAUUGGGACUGAGAUACGGCCCAGACGCCUACGGGAGGCAGCAGUGGGAAAUAUGGCACAAUGGGCGGAAGCCUGAUGCAGCAACGCCGCGUGCGGGAUGACGGCCUUCGGGUUGUAAACCGCUUUCGCCUGUGACGAAGCGUGAGUGACGGUAAUGGGUAAAGAAGCACCGGCUAACUACGUG
rnacentral:rRNA from 1 species